GAUGAACGCUGGCGGCGUGCCUAAUACAUGCAAGUCGAGCGAACGGACGAGAAGCUUGCUUCUCUGAUGUUAGCGGCGGACGGGUGAGUAACACGUGGAUAACCUACCUAUAAGACUGGGAUAACUUCGAGAAACCGUAGCUAAUACCGGAUAAUAUUUUGAACCGCAUGGUUCAAAAGUGAAAGACGGUCUUGCUGUCACUUAUAGAUGGAUCCGCGCUGCAUUAGCUAGUUGGUAAGGUAACGGCUUACCAAGGCAACGAUGCAUAGCCGACCUGAGAGGGUGAUCGGCCACACUGGAACUGAGACACGGUCCAGACUCCUACGGGAGGCAGCAGUAGGGAAUCUUCCGCAAUGGGCGAAAGCCUGACGGAGCAACGCCGCGUGAGUGAUGAAGGUCUUCGGAUCGUAAAACUCUGUUAUUAGGGAAGAACAUAUGUGUAAGUAAAUGUGCACAUCUUGACGGUACCUAAUCAGAAAGCCACGGCUAACUACGUG
rnacentral:rRNA from 1 species